CGUCCCUCAGGAAGUGCCCAAGGCCCCAUCUGAGCCUGUCUCUGCUGUAUCCAGCCAAAUCCCUCAUUCAGCAGCUGAUGGAGGACAACCAAUGUCCCUCGCAUCUCUCGCUCUCCUCCUCAUCACUCCUCAUCUCGUCUCUCAAGGGAAACCAGCUUGUUCACUUCUUCCACGACAAUAUUGCAGAGGCAAGUAUUUUGCGCAUUUUGCAUAUUCAUAUCCUAUGAGGAAAUUUCCUGGAUGGUUGUGCUGACGAACUUUCCCUAAGCAAGCUUUCUAAGCAAUCUGUUGGGUUUUGUUGGGUCGUCACACUGUAGUUUCCUCGAUUUGUCCUUCCGGUUAACCUUUUUUAUUUACAUUGACUGUAUUACACUUGGCCAGCUGCCUUGUUUUCACAAGACGACUAUCUGAACAUCUCUCCACACAUUCCUAUGCAAUCAGUGUCUUGUUUUUACAGGAUAUCCUAGACUGAAUUUAAACUGAAAACAAACACUCUGAUUGGUGAUUGGUGAUUGGUGACGUUCACUAGAAUCAUUAAUUCCCUACACUUAUGUAGAGUAUUUAUGUGGCUGUUUUCUUGGGACACAUCAUAUAUUCUUAAAAAUAAAAAGAUGAGUAGUAUGGAUCAAGGUAUUAUAUAGCACAAAAUGCAGAUGAGAAACAAACCCAUGGCCCUACAUUUGAGCAAUUGAAAUCCUCGUCUUAGCAAACUGCAGUAUUAUGCAAUGAAAGGAAUGAGACUAAACCUAGGAUGUUUAUCUCACUGUUGGCAUGCAGAUGGAGAAUGAGUAGCUGAAACACAUCCUGUGGACGUCAGUGCUCUUCUACAGAUCUCCUGAUGUGGAGACGACUGCCUGUGUCCUGCUGUCCACCAAAGCCAUCUACUUCAUCCAACUGCAGAGCGUCAAUGUGGACUUGUUCGAUCAGUUCUUCAGAGUCAUGGUACCGUCCUACAACCCAAGACUCUCAUACUCACCAGCACGGAUGUCUUCCUACUGGAUGAAGACCACAUCAGUUACCCACUACCUGAGUUCGCAAAAGAGCCACCACAAAGAGAAAAGUACCGGCUCACGGACGCCCGGCGGAUACACCUGGAUCCGCGUGCUAAUGGGCUGCCAGACUUACCCACAAGCCCUCACGCUGGUGUUUGAUGGUGUUCCCGGGCUGGAUCUUUUGUGCCACCUUACCAUAGACCAUUUUGCAGAUGGUGACAGGAAGGGUGACAGGACGCAGAUGUUCGGAUGA
rnacentral:lncRNA from 1 species